GUAAAGCACUUUCAGUCGUGAGGAAGGCGGGUACGUUAAUAGCGUAUUCGUUUGACGUUAGCGACAGAAGAAAGCACCGGCUAACUCCGUGCCAGCAGCCGCGGUAAUACGGAGGGUGCGAGCGUUAAUCGGAAUUACUGGGCGUAAAGCGCAUGCAGGUGGUUUGUUAAGUCAGAUGUGAAAGACCCGGGGCUCAACCUCGGAAUAGCAUUUGAAACUGGCAGACUAGAGUACUGUAGAGGGGGGUAGGAAUUUCAGGUGUAGCGGUGAAAAUGCGUAGAGAUCUGAAGGAAUACCGGUGGCGAAGGCGGCCCCCUGGACAGAUACUGACACUCAGAUGCGAAAGCGUGGGGAGCAAACAGGAUUAGAUACCCUGGUAG
rnacentral:rRNA from 1 species